rnacentral:rRNA from 1 species
UACGGGGGGGAGCAAGCGUUGUUCGGAUUUACUGGGCGUAAAGGGCGCGUAGGCGGCCAGCACAAGUCAGUUGUGAAAUCUCCGAGCUUAACUCGGAACGGUCAACUGAUACUGUGCGGCUAGAGUGCGGAAGGGGCAACUGGAAUUCUUGGUGUAGCGGUGAAAUGCGUAGAUAUCAAGAGGGAACACCUGCGGCGAAGG